rnacentral:RNase_P_RNA from 2 species
CAAGUAAACCGGGUGACCGCCCCAAUUCCCCCGAUUUUUAUCGGGGUCAUCGGGGAGGAAAGUCCGAGCUCCACCGGGCAGGAUGCUGGGUAACACCCAGGAGGGGCGACCCUACGGAAAGUGCCACAGAAACAUACCGCCCCGGCUUCGGCCGGAGUAAGGGUGAAAUGGCGAGGUAAGAGCUCACCAGCGGCCGGGUGACCGGUCGGCUGUGCAAACCCCAUCUGGAGCAAGACCGAAUAGAGGGACUAUGGGACGCCCGGCCCGUUCCCCGGGUUGGUCGCUCGACCCCGAUGGUAACGUCGGGGCUAGAUAGAUGGUCACCGUCCCGAUUUAUCGGGACA